UGAGUAACACGUAUCCAACCUGCCGUCUACUCUUGGACAGCCUUCUGAAAGGAAGAUUAAUACAAGAUGGCAUCAUGAGUCCGCAUGUUCACAUGAUUAAAGGUAUUCCGGUAGACGAUGGGGAUGCGUUCCAUUAGAUAGUAGGCGGGGUAACGGCCCACCUAGUCUUCGAUGGGUAGGGGUUCUGAGAGGAAGGUCCCCCACAUUGGAACUGAGACACGGUCCAAACUCCUACGGGAGGCAGCAUG
rnacentral:rRNA from 1 species